GUACUUGCUUCAGCAGCACAUAUACUAAAAUUGGAAUGAUACAGAGAAGAUUAGCAUGGCCCCUGCACAAGGAUGACAUGCAAAUUCAUGAAGCGUUCCAUAUUUUU